AGCGAACGCUGGCGGCAGGCCUAACACAUGCAAGUCGAACGGAUCCUUCGGGAUUAGUGGCGGACGGGUGAGUAACACGUGGGAACGUGCCCUUUGGUUCGGAACAACUCAGGGAAACUUGAGCUAAUACCGGAUGUGCCCUUCGGGGGAAAGAUUUAUCGCCAUUGGAGCGGCCCGCGUCGGAUUAGCUAGUUGGUGGGGUAAAGGCCCACCAAGGCUACGAUCCGUAGCUGGUCUGAGAGGAUGAUCAGCCACAUUGGGACUGAGACACGGCCCAAACUCCUACGGGAGGCAGCAGUGGGGAAUCUUGCGCAAUGGGCGAAAGCCUGACACAGCCAUGCCGCGUGAAUGAUGAAGGUCUUAGGAUUGUAAAAUUCUUUCACCGGGGACGAUAAUGACGGUACCCGGAGAAGAAGCUCCGGCUAACUUCGUGCCAGCCGCCGCGGUAAUAC
rnacentral:rRNA from 1 species